AGUGAACGCUGGCGGUAGGCCUAACACAUGCAAGUCGAACGGCAGCACAGUAAGAGCUUGCUCUUACGGGUGGCGAGUGGCGGACGGGUGAGGAAUACAUCGGAAUCUACUUUUUCGUGGGGGAUAACGUAGGGAAACUUACGCUAAUACCGCAUACGACCUACGGGUGAAAGCAGGGGAUCUUCGGACCUUGCGCGAUUGAAUGAGCCGAUGUCGGAUUAGCUAGUUGGCGGGGUAAAGGCCCACCAAGGCGACGAUCCGUAGCUGGUCUGAGAGGAUGAUCAGCCAAACUGGAACUGAGACACGGCCCAGACUCCUAGGGGAGGCAGCAGUGGGGAAUAUUGGACAAUGGGGGCAAGCCUGAUCCAGCCAUACCGGGUGGGUGAAGAAGGCCUUCGGGUUGUAAAGCCCUUUUGUUGGGAAAAAAAAGCAGCAGGUUAAUACCCCGCUGUUCUGACGGUACCCAAAGAAUAAGCACCGGCUAACUUCGU
rnacentral:rRNA from 1 species